CUUUAAAGAGAGAAUAAAGUAAUACAAAAAGGAUAAGCCAUGUAAAGAUAGAAAAUACACAGAUAGUGUAGAUUCUAUAUGGUGUCUUAAUUGACUUUGAAUUUUUAGAUUACUGAUGAACAAUGGCAGGUGCUGAGAGACAUGGAAUUAUAAGAGAGGUUGAUGAAUUAAAUCAGUCUAGAUACUUUAGGAAUGCCUUAACUUUAAAAUGGAAGUCAGAAAAUGCAUUGCUUUGUGGAAGAGGUUAUGCUUUUGUUUCCAUAUAAAAUGAAUGCUGUGGAUUCUUUCAAGACUGAGAGUGAUCAGGUUUGAUCAUGGAUGAACCCCUGAAAAUCCUGGCUACAGACAUAAAUAAACCUAGAGAAUCUGCAAGAGAGGUGACGUGUAUUUCACCUGAUCAAACUAAAACAGAAAAAAAAUCAUCUUUGGCUGGUUUGCGUACAAUGCACAGUUCAUACUUGUGUUAAUGCAGACAGAGGGAUGGAGAAGAAUGCAUCUUUUAAGCUAAAUACAGUGUAAUCUUUUUGAUUUAGUGGUAACAAGCGGAAUAAACUGUAGGCAUUUGGAACAGUUGGAUAAAUAGAUUAUAUCCUUUUGUUCACUCUCCUCACGUCAAACACCUUCUGGGCUAUUUCUCAUAGUUCAGGUGGCUGGGCUGACUGAGGUUGCCAUUUCUCACUUCACAGGCUCACUGAGAAUCAAAAGCACCCUGAGAGGGCCAGUCAGCGUAAGUAUAGGCUAUUCAGGCUCACAGAAGCUUUGGAGGUGAUCCUUGCUGAUAGGAUAACCAUAAUCCUCCUUAAUGAUAGUGAAUACAAUGUAUCAAAUGUCUUUACAGCACAAGUGAGAGCGCUGUUAGUUCAGUUGCCCCAAUGCUGGGAAACUUCCUUCAGCUAAUGGCCUUUGAAAGUCUGGACCAGGUUUGGCAUGGCCUUUUGUAUCAAAAAAGUGUGAGCACACACCCCUCUCUCCUCUCUUGCCUAGAUGCUGGAUUCAAUUCCUGUUUCCUAUUUGUGAAGAGGACUGUAAUCUACAAAACUGGGAGGUGCACGGAAACAUCCUUCAGUCAAUGGCCUUUGAAAGACUGAACCAGAUUGGGCAUGACCUUGGAUACCAAAAAUGUAACUUGGAAGCGAAUGAACAGCCUCUGAAAACUAAUUGGUACCCAAUGUGGUAGUUCACUCUGAUAGCCUGGCAAACCAAGGGCAACCUCAUAACCUUCGUCUGUCUUAAAGCAGAUGUCUCCUGAAGCAGCCUAGAAUUCCAGAGCAAAUGUUCAGGUUGAGAA